rnacentral:rRNA from 1 species
GAUGAACGCUGGCGGCGUGCUUAACGCAUGCAAGUCGUACGUGAAGGGGUUUUCGGACUCCUGAAAGUGGCGAACGGGUGAGUAAUACGUAGAUGACCUGCCUUAAAGUGGGGGAUAACUACUGGAAUCGGUGGCUAAUACCGCAUAGAGCCGUGACCGUUGGGAGGUUGCAGGGAAAGCUCCGGCGCUUAGAGAGGGGUCUACGUCCGAUUAGCUAGUUGGUGGGGUAAAGGCCUACCAAGGCGACGAUCGGUAGCUGGUCUGAGAGGACGAUCAGCCAAACGGGAACUGAGACACGGUCCCGACUCCUACGGGGGGCAGCAGCGAGGAAUAUUGGGCAAUGGGCGAAAGCCUGACCCAGCAACGCCGCGUGAAGGAGGAAGGCCUUCGGGUUGUAAACUUCUUUUGUGGGGGAAGAGAGAGGACGGUACCCUGCGAAUAAGUCACGGCUAACUACGUGCCAGCAGCCGCCGUAA